GUAAAAUUAGGGGAAAGGAGCCGCGCUGGGGCUGCUGAAUUCCUAUGUGGAUGGUGCUGAAGAAAGGUGCAGGAAUCAGAGAAACUAGAGUAGAACCCAGAGGAAGAUGAAGCACUUGCAAGCCAGCCACUGCCUCACACAUGUCAGGACAGCCAGCAGAGAAGUAGCAGUGAAAUGGCGAGAAUGGAGUGUGUAUGUGCUGAGCGAAUGCCAGGAGGAUAAGCUUUGCAAUGAUUGAAAGGACAACAUUCACAACAGAGAGCAGCUAAAGGAAGAGAAAGAGCAAAUGAGACCAAGGGGAAAGUGGUUUUCAGAUGGGCCCUUCCUUAUCACAAACCAAUUCAUGACUUCCUGAUGAAGACAUUUGUCCACCCAAAAGUGCCGGUGCUUCUAGAAAUUCCCAUCACGGGAUAAAACUGUCAGCACCUGCCUCAGACACAGGAGUCGGGAAAGACCACCAGCGGGAAAGAGACUGACAUGCACAGCGUGACCAUUUUAGUGACAAAAUGUGUUCUCUUAGUUAAUUUGUUGAAUGGAAGAUUACAAAAAAGAUAUAUGGUGUCUUUAACAUAGU